UACGUAGGGGGGCAAGCGUUGUCCGGAUUCAUUGGGCGUAAAGAGCGUGUAGGCGGCCAGGUAGGUCGGUUGUGAAAACUGGAGGCUCAACCUUCAGACGUCGACCGAAACCAUCUGGCUAGAGUCCGGGAGAGGAGAGUGGAAUUCCUGGUGUAGCGGUGGAAUGCGCAGAUAUCAGGAGGAACACCGAUAGCGAAGGCAGCUCGCUGGGACGGUACUGACGCUGAGGCGCGAAAGCGUGGGGAGCGAACAGG
rnacentral:rRNA from 1 species